GACAGAGGUGCCGAGCGUUAGGCGGAAUCACUGGGCUUAAAGCGUGUGUAGGCGGACCGUUAAGUACCUUGUGAAAUCCCCCGGCUCAACCGGGGAACGGCUGGGUAUACUGGCGGUCUUGAGCCAUCCAGGGGCAGUCGGAACAGACGGUGGAGCGGUGAAAUGCGUAGAUAUCGUCUGGAACGCCGAAGGUGAAAACAGGUUGCUGGGGGUGUGCUGACGCUGAGACACGAAAGCCAGGGGAGCAAACGGG
rnacentral:rRNA from 1 species